AGCCACACAGUGAGCACAGAGCGAACUAUUCUUUCGCCUUUUACUAAAGAAUACCGUGUGUGCGCUGUAAUUAGUGGCGUAUAUUUUUGGAGGGGUUUUCUCUUUUCUGAGUACC